AUUGAACGCUGGCGGCAUGCCUUACACAUGCAAGUCGAACGGUAACAGGUUAAGCUGACGAGUGGCGAACGGGUGAGUAAUGUAUCGGAACGUGCCCAGUCGUGGGGGAUAACUGCUCGAAAGAGCAGCUAAUACCGCAUACGACCUGAGGGUGAAAGCGGGGGAUCGCAAGACCUCGCGCGAUUGGAGCGGCCGAUAUCAGAUUAGGUAGUUGGUGAGGUAAAGGCUCACCAAGCCGACGAUCUGUAGCUGGUCUGAGAGGACGGCCAGCCACACUGGGACUGAGACAAGGCCCAGACUCCUACGGGAGGCAGCAGUGGGGAAUUUUGGACAAUGGGCGCAAGCCUGAUCCAGCCAUGCCGCGUGCGGGAAGAAGGCCUUCGGGUUGUAAAACGCUUUUGUCAGGGAAGAAAAGGUUCUGGCUAAUACCUGGGACUCAUGACGGUACCUGAAGAAUAAGCACCGGCUAACUACGUG
rnacentral:rRNA from 1 species